rnacentral:lncRNA from 1 species
GGGGUGGGCUCUGCGGGAAGGGCGGGCCAGGGCCUGAGGAGCCGGGGGAGGGCCGGGUUUCGUGGCGCGCAGGGAGCCGGGCUAAGGAACUUCUAACCCGGGUCACGCGCGCGGAGGCGGCGUCCACGAGACUAGUCCCUAGGCUCCUCUGCGGUACUGGUCGAGCCCAGGACUAGCGGAAGGGUGGAGCUACACACGCCACCUCCAAGGAACAGGGGUCAGGGAGGGAUUGCGUCUUCCUGGUCCACGUGUAGAGUACUUUGUUGUGGUCCUGGGGAGCCUAACCGCGUGCUAGACCGGAAUAAUACCACUGAGUUACACAAACUACGGAAAAGCAUAGGACAGCAAGAAAGAGAAUGCUCUCUCCUCUGUUUCUCUGUCUCUCCAUCAGUCUCCCCAGCAAGACCCUGCCUCAAACAACAACCAACAACAACAACAACAAUACAAUAAUAAAUCAACUUAAAAAUUCUUGAAAACUGGCUAUCCCCAUGUAGAAGAAUGAAUCUAUACCCAUAUCUCCCACUCUAUACUACAAAAAUUAAAAUGAAUCAAAGAUCUACAUAUUAAAACAGAAACACUGAAUCUGCUGAAAGAUAAAAGAGGUAAAACUCUUGAAAAUAUAGGUAUAGGCAAGGACUCUCUGAACAGAGCCCCAAUUGUGCAAGAAAUAACAGCAAGAAUCAACAAAUGGAACUAUAUCAAAUUUAAAAGCCCCCUCCCAUAAAGGAACCAAUCAAAGGGGUGAAAUGAUAAACUACAAAAUGAAAAAAAAAAUGCCAGCCAUUUCUUAGGAAGAGGACUAAUAUCUAGAGUACAUAAACAACUCAACGGGGAAGCAUCAGAGCCGUAGGAGGGCUCCUUAGGGUGGCAGCUCUGAAACAGGACCACGCAGCAAUGGACCCCGGCCAUUGGCUGAUGCUGGAGUAACCGAUUUAUACACAUUUAGCUCCUGGAUGUCACAGAUAUUUAGCAUUAAGCAUGGGGCUUUAAAGAAUGUCCUUGACAGUUCAUGAACUUCUCCUGAGGCAGAUUUGAAUUUCAAGGGUCAGAAACCACCGUGGCUAAGGAUUUAUCCAGCUCAUGUGUCAGCCCCCCACCGCCU